GGUCUCCUCUCCUGAAGCUGAUCAUCUAUCUCUCGAGAUGUAUUAAAGCUGUACUGCAGAAGGAUCCGAGUGGCCUGCCAGAAGUAUGUGUUCUUUUCUUCAAAUGCUAUCCAAGUGCUCUCUCCGUAAAAAGAUUGUAUCAAGAACUCCAGGCAUUCAAUGCUACUGCAGGGGAAAAGGUGGCCUUUGAAAAAAUCCAGGACUGCUAGAAAGAGGGAGGAUUAAGAAACAUAUUUAUGGAACCUGAAAUUAUGGAAGCCAUGGACUCCAGCCCUGAGUGCAAGGCAUUCUAUAAUAGUGGCUCCAUAAGGUCCAUUUUAGACCUUCUUUCCAAGUUAUUAGAGGAAUAGAAGAGUUAAUGUGUUUUGGGCAACCCAUCUUUGCAACAUGUGUAAUCCUAGUGCCAUCUUGCUGACCUGUCCUCUUUCUCUCCUGAAGUUGGAUUCCUGUUCCUGUUCCUUCAUCAUUCAGUCUCUUAGACUGAUUCUAAUAAAGGCUUGCAGCUCUGUUCUGUGA